rnacentral:rRNA from 1 species
AGUGGCGAACGGGGGCAGUAACACGUGACCAACCUGCCUAGAAGUGGGGGAUAGCUCGCCGAAAGGCGAAUUAAUACCGCAUGUGAUCGUAAGAUUAAAGCAGCAAUGCGCUUUUAGAGGGGGUCGCGGCCUAUCAGCUAGUUGGUGAGGUAAAGGCUUACCAAGGCAGCGACGGGUAGCUGGUCUGAGAGGACGACCAACCACACUGGAACUGAGACACGGUCCAGACACCUACGGGUGGCAGCAGUCGAGAAUUUUUCUCAAUGGGGGAAACCCUGAAGGAGCGACGCCGCGUGGAGGAUGAAGGCUUUCGGGUUGUAAACUCCUGUCAUCUGGGAACAAAACUCGCAAGAGCUUGAUAGUACCAGAAGAGGAAGAGACGGCUAACUCUGUGCCAGCAGCCGCGGUAAUACAGAGGUCUCAAGCGUUGUUCGGAUUCAUUGGGCGUAAAGGGCGCGUAGGCGGCGGGGUAAGUCUGGUGUGAAAUCUCGGAGCUCAACUCCGAAAUUGCACUGGA